GAAAUGCGAUAAGUAGUGUGAAUUGCAGAAUUCAGUGAAUCAUCGAAUCUUUGAACGCACAUUGCGCCUUCCGGCAUUCCGGGAGGCAUGCCUGUCCGAACGUCAUCAAGCCCCUCGCCCGCACCUGUUGCCUGCAACGGGAGCCAGGGCGGUUGCUGGCAGAUGGGAUGCGAGUGAGCGCCCACUGCUGAAAUCCAUCGGCAGACCCGUCAUGGCUGCAAUUGUGAUAAGAACAUUCUUAUGAUUGCAUGCCGGCAUUGGAGUCUAGCCGCGAGCUGCCUGGAGACCCUCCACGGGGCCUGACGGCGCAAGCAAAAUAUUUUGACUUCGGAUCAGGUAGGGAUACCCGCUGAACUUAA
rnacentral:misc_RNA from 1 species